UGCUUCGGCCGGGAAUCGAACCCGGGCCGCCCGCGUGGCAGGAGAGCAUUCUACCACUGAACCACCUAUGC
rnacentral:tRNA from 1 species